rnacentral:lncRNA from 1 species
UCCUGCCCACCGCCUUGGUGUUCCUGAUCCAGCACGUUGCCAUCAUCCUCGCCCCAGAUACCAGCCAAGGAGGCUGGAAGGCCAACCAAGCUCCAACCACUGGGUGUCCCAUCGCAGCGUGGCUUUACUGCUAACGUUGGCAUUGCUGUUUGUGCCAGGGGUUCUGUUCAAAACCAAGCUCUUAGAAGAAUUUGGAGGAAAUUAUGACUGCAACCAUGUCUUUAGCAGCUAACCCUGGAGAGAGAAUGGACCAAGCUAAACAUUAACCAUUGCUGCUGGUAGGCCUCUGACAGCACAAGGUGGUGAGCCUGUCUUUCAGAAACCAGCUAGCUGGGUUCAAAACCAAGCCCAUCAUGUAGAAGCUAUGUGACCUUGAAGAAGUUAAUUAGACUCUCUGAACCUUUGGUUCUUUAUCCACCAAUAAAAUGCUAUUGUAUUUUUUAUUUAAAAAAAUUAAAUAAAAUAGUGAUCCAUUGCAUAUAAAACUGAACUGGAGUCCAUAGUUUAUGGUGGGGAAGGCUCAGAAGAUAGAGGCAAGAAUGUAGCUGCAGCAUUUUCUUUUUCUUCAUAUCUAGGAGGCAAUUCAGAUGGAAGAUGUGGAGUGUGUGAGGCCUCAGAAGACGAAUUCGUCCCAGAAAUGUAACCUGUCCCCCUGCUUUUGUGGGAAAAGAAUCUCUACACAACUUCAUUCCCUCCAGGCCCCAGAGGAAAGGCACCCUGGCCCCUGCUCCAAGGCCCACUGCCUGCUCUGUCAAGGCAGGGUGGAGAGGGAGUUCCUUAAACACGAAUAACAAGGUAAGGUGGUGCUAUCCCCAGCAAUGAGCACCAGUCUCUCUGUGCCUGCUGCUCACUGCAUGCAAAAAUGCACAUAUCUCAUUGUCUUACCUGCUUCACCCUGUGACAAUGUGAAGCAAUUCUUCCUUCCCUUCCUAAACCCUGGUUUCCCAUUCUAGAAGGUACCACCAGAGCCUUCUCCAGCCCUGCUCCCUGAGCACACCAUUUCUAGGGUAUGCACAAGCCCCUCCUGGGGGUUUCCCACUAGUCCCUGACUCUUUGCCCUCCUGGUUCUCCAACAACCUCUGCAGCUCCAUCUCCAUCACCUCCUCUCUCUCCCAAAACCCAGCCCCUCCCAAUCUGCCUCCAAGGCCCUCAUCUCACUGUACCACCACCAUCAGCCGCCCACCAUCCUUUCCCCACUGAAACCAAGCUCAUCACUCACGUCCUCUCAGUUGGGGACCUCUGAGCUUCCCUGUCACUCACCCUGGAACUCAUCAUCUUCGCCUCUUCCUCAAUGUCAUUCUCCAUCCAGACCCCCUCCCCCAGGCUCCUGGCACCUCAGGCCCGUCCCACUAGAGCCUGCCUCGCUGCAUUCUGUGUGGGGUGGGUAUUGACCUGAUAAUUCUCUGCGGCCCAGGGAAGGAGCGAAUAUUGAAGGAGAGGCCCAGUUGUGUUGGAUCAGGGCUCAGGCUGACUUUAGCCAGUCACCCAAGCAUGGCCAUCAGAGUACUAAAGCCCUUCUGUAACUGUUGGGGAUCCCCUGAGACCCUCACACCUCUCCAUGAUCUAAAGCAGUGAAGCCUAGCAUAGCAGGGGCCUCCUGGCCCAGUCCUGGUGCUCAGUCUGAUUGGUGGGUCAUUAAACAUUCUCUUUUUUUCCCCUGAGAUAGAGUCUCUCUCUGUUGCCCAGGCUGGAGUGCAGUGGCACGAUCUCGGCUUGGAGCAGAAGAAUAGGGUGUGGAGGCAGGGAAUCUACGGCCGUUUCACGCUGACUUCCUAGAACUAAAUUGAAAGGAAAACCCUAACUUUCCACCCCUAAGUAACAAAAGGACCAAAGACUACU